GAUAAGAACAAGAACACCCCACUGCACUAUGCCGCUGGAUACGGUCGGAAGGAAUGCGUGGAUCUUCUCUUGAAGCACGGCGCUGCUGUGUAAGUGAAACCAUCUAUUCUCUCUCUAAUUAACCAGCAUAAAUCUCGCUCGCGUUCAACUGUUUCUAAACGACUGCAGCACGCUCCAAAAUCUGGACGGGAAGACCCCCAUCGAGGUGGCCAAGCUCAACAACCAGGACGAGGUGGUGAAGCUGCUCGAGCAGGACGUGUUCCUAUGAAGCAAACCCUCAGACCCAGCGCUCGUCGAUCCUAAAACUCUCCCUUGGUUCUGGACUCUCGGCGGUGUCAUAUCGUGGCGUGGUGUUGAUUGUUUCCCCUCAGUUUUACUUAGUCGGUAGCUCUCGCCUGUAACCUGUGUGGCCUUGCGGUGCUACUCAACAGAGUCCCAUCUUCUUCUCAUUUGUUUUGAUCCUGCUGUGCAACCCUGUUCUUGGUCCAUCUCCAUGCACGGGGGAUAUGGGUUCGCUGUGGGAGCUGUCAGGGGUGAUGAUUGCGUAUAUACCCCUGUCGUGAAUAUUUCUUGGUGUUGAAAAUGAUAUCGCAAGGUGCAAUUUUUGUUUAAUCUGUUGUUUAGGCUGGCUGCUUCCGUGUUCUUCAUCUUUAGAAGAUCUUUGUGAGUCCUGUAACACGAACUCGGUUUCAGACUGAUUUUAGAAGGCGAUUGGAAAAAGGCACGAAGGCGAAACAAGUCAACAAGUGUGUUACUUGCUGCUUCGUUUAAUUCUGGAGUGGUUCCCUCUCGCUCUCUCUCCCCUGCGACAACUGUGGGUUGAUACAUCUUAUAGGGUGAAUAUCAGGUGAUACAAUGACUUGUAUGCUCCCAUGAUACUACUAAUUUGACAAAGUUGAUUUUAAAUGUUCUGAAAAUUCCAAAAAAAAAAACCCCACGGAUGUUCGCAAAACAUGUGUCUACGGUCCCUAAAAUAUUUAGAUCAAAAUUCGAAAUACAUAUUGAGAAACAAAAAAGACAAAUUCAGCAUAAUAGUGUCAAUAAAGACAAAGGGAUGAAUAUUGUCACAACCUAAAUUAUUCACAUCCGUUUUUCUUUUGUUUCUCUAUAUGUACUUUGAAUUUCUGAUCUAAAUUUUUUAGAGUUUGUAGACAUAUGUGUUCUGAACAUCCACAAUUUUUUCAGAUUUUUUCAAAACAUUUAAAUUUGACUUUUUAAAAUUGGUAUCAUGGGAGCAUACUAGAGGUGGUAUCACCUAUUGGCCAUCUACAUGCCAUGCUCUUUCCGGCAGCCCACCUACAGGCCAUCUCUACGCUAUGCUCUAACCACGCCUCUCUUCUCCUUCAGGGAACCCCACCUCAUAUACAAGCGUCAAGCUUUUAGCCGCCUCGCUAAGACGCUUAAGAUCUAGCAAUGUCAGAAGGUGCGCGACAUUGAGACGCAGAUCUUGAUCUCCAAGGAGAUCAUUUGGCAGCUUUGACAGGAAUCCCGCUUGUUCACUCAUAAGGAACGCUCUAUGCGCUGCAAUGUUAAGAGCAACUACAUGGGUCUCCUCUCGAUCCAAAAAAAUUGAAACGAGGCAUCAAAGCGGGCUCACAACCAUUUGAACUGCGGAUGCGAACACUAAACUUUUCCGCAUCAAAGCAAAUGAUUGCGGAAAGAAAAGUUUCAUCUAGUCGCUCGAGGACUACCAAUGGGGUCGCCAUCACGCAAGAGGACAAAGAACUUGCGCUCCACUCCCAUUACAGUGGGCACCUGGGAACGAAGUCGCAUUGCUUUGUUAAAAUCAACUGGGAGGCCCUUGGCUACCAGCGACGUGAUUUGUGUGACCUUGAUGCUGACUUUGAUGCGGACGAGAUCAAAGAGGUCGUGUUCUCCCUCCCCUCUGGCAAGGUGCUCGGCCCUGGUGGCUUCAUUGGGGCUUUCUUUAAAAAGGUCGUGUUCUCCCUCCCCUCUGGCGAGGCGCUCGACCCCAACGGCUUCUUCAUUGGGGCUUUCCUUAAAGAGGCCGUAUUCUCCCUUCUUUUUUGAAAUGAGGAUCAACUCUUUGACGAGGACGAGGUGUAUGAAAUGUUUGGUCCCUUUAUUAUGUUUGUGACAAAAUCUUUACAAACUUCUGUCAUCUUUCACCACCUAGCGAGUCUAUGCUGGACUCACGCCGCACCCACAUUCAAGCGUCUUUUUGUCUUUAGAAAAUAGGACCAAUGGUAGUGUCCGACUAGAAUACUGUACUGUCGCAAACCUUUCGUGAAAUACAUCUUUAGUUCAAAAAGGCAUGUCUGAAUUGUGUUUAUAUUUUUAUUGUUUCUACCUGGAUUCUUGCAUGAAUCUUCUUUGUUCUACUUUAGUAGAUGUGUCCUAAAAAGAAGAGCCUCAUUAACCUACACCAAAAAAAAGAGCGCGAAGCUGAUGAGGUCGUAAAACGAACGAUAAAACAAGAGCGCAAUGUGCACAUCACAAACUCAGUUUUUGGGAGGUACUAAAAGAGCGUGUUGCUUCACCUAAAAGAAAAACAUAGUUGAUGCCAAAAAAAAAAAUGCUUAGUGCUAAUGUAUAGCACAUCCCCCAUCGAAUUAAUUUAUACAACAUUUUUCUAUAUACAUUCGAACACUGUACACUUUUUUUGAGGGGGUUUAUAAAUAUACUGUACAUACUGUACAUAUUUUUUCGAUGCUGUUUGCGUCCAUGCCGGACGCGAAGCAGGUGGGCCAUCCCGUUCUUUUAAAUCGGAUCCAUCUUAUCUCCUGCGGCGGUAUGGUUUUUUUUUUCUAUUGUAUCGAUCUUUUUCUUUUUCUGAUUGAGAAUAUUCUGUUGUAUCGAUCGAACCACCCGUCGUGGAUCCUCGCUCGGCACACGCAACCGUCGGAUCCGGCCCGUUGCCGAUCCCACCACCCGCCUGCCAGUCCACCCGGGCUGACCGGGCGUUGCUGCGAGAGAACGGCACCGUUAUUUUAUCAGCCGUUUAUUAGCGCCCAAUGGCCCAUGGCCGGCGCACCGGGAGCGCGAGCGCUGGCAGCGGCAGGCAGGCACCACCAUGCUCGGCGCCAUCCUCCGGUUGCGGCUCCGCGUGCUCCGGCGCCACCUCCGUCUCCGCCUCCGCGGCCGCAGGCGGCGGUGGAGCUGUCGGUCCCGGAGAGGGGGCGGCGGCGAGGCGGGGGGUGAGGAGGAGGGGGCGCGCGAGCCGGUGCUGCUAGUGUCCGGGAUGGGCGGGUCGGUGCUGCACGCGCGGCGGCGGUCGGACACCAAGUUCGACCUCCGGGUCUGGGUGCGCAUCCUCCUCGCCGACCUCGAGUUCAAGAAGUACCUCUGGUCGCUCUACAACGCCCAGACCGGUGGGUUGUCCGUGUUCUCCAGCUGUUCGAUGAAACGUUUCGGUGCAGUGGGGGUGGUUGAUUGAUUGAGGUGGCUUCUCUCUUGUGGUUUCUCGCGCAGGGUAUGUGGAAUCGUUGGACGACGACGUGGAGAUUGUGGUGCCGGACGACGAUCAUGGCCUCUUCGCCAUCGACGUUCUCGAUCCUUCCUGGGUGAGUGGGCUUAUGGGUGCUAGUUCAGUGAAUGGAGUUGAAUAGUGGAUCUUUUCUUCCGUUCGUGUGAUGAACUGUACACUGACAGUAGGUUUAUUUUUUGCCCCUUUUUGUGAGCAUGGCCGGUGGGAGUUUUUUGGGGGCGAUUCUUGUGACACUUGGUGUCUGUUAAUUGGGGCAAAUGGGAAGGGAGAAGAGGAAGUGGACAUAUAGAGAUAGAGGGAUCAGUGAUGGAUAUCCGUUUCGUACUGUCGUAUGGAGAGCUUUCUUGUGCUUUUAACUUACUAGUGCUCUUGGAGAAUGGAUAACAGGAUAGGGACAGGCAUUUGGUACAUAUGGACUGUAAAUUGCAUUUAGAUUGUGGACCGACUAGGAUGAAAAAAAUGGAUUUAUGUGGACCAUGGUUGCUUACACAGGAAAAAAAAUACUGAGCCGGAGCUAUUAUAGCCAUCAAAUUUGUAUUUAUAUUCUCUUAACUUCAAGGAAUUAAGCCGUGCUUUGGCUCGUGAAAUGUUCAAUCAAAUGAUCUAUGCAGUAUAUGAGGAAUCACAGGGCUAGAACUGGUAGCUGAAAAUGGAGCAAUGAAACAGUGAUAGUACAUGCCAAGUUGCUAACAUGCUUGCAUGUCGUAUCAACAAGAUUUGUGUUCGAAUAAUUAAUCCAUCGGUGAAACUGAUGCUUAUCCUGCUUGAUUGCUCUUGGUACUUAGACAUUUUGACGUUGAUUUCAGGUGGAAUUAAUUCCGUAACUGCUGAGUUCGAAACAAAAAUAAACAUUUUUUAUAUUGUAAAAAUAUUGGACAGGGAAUUUUACUUAAAAAUGGUAUCUUAGCUGUUGAUACCGAAUGAGUUCACUUCAAGAAUUCAUGGGAUGGCUAAUCCCCCAUAUAGGGGUAUUUUAUCAUGUAAUUCAAAUCAUUAUUCAAGAAGCGAACUCCCUUUCUGAAUUAAUUGCCGUCUCUGAUUUAACCAGUUGUUGCAAAGAGCAUAAUUUUUGUGAUCUGAUUUGUGCCCCAUCUCUCUUAACUUCAGUUUGUAGAGCUACUGCAUCUGACUAUGGUGUACCAUUUCCAUGAUAUGAUUGAUAUGCUCCUUGACUGUGGAUAUGAGAAAGGAACAACACUAUUUGGAUAUGGUUAUGAUUUUCGUCAAAGCAACAGGUGCAAUCCUCUAAAUCAACACUUAAGUGGGUUCAUUCGGAUGCUAUAAUCAGUAGCAUAAAAAGUGGCUUAGCCUAAAACAUGUUCUGUUUCACAAGCACAAGGUGCUGUAACGAUGGUUUUAUCUGGCAGGAUAGACAAAGCAAUGGCUGGUUUGAGAGCAAAACUUGAGACGGCUUACAAGGCCUCUGGUGGGAAAAAAGUAAACAUAAUCUCCCAUUCUAUGGGAGGAUUGCUAGUACGCUGUUUCAUGUCUAUGAAUCAUGAUGUGAGUUUUCUUGUUUGAUAUGCCACUUUGCCUAUGCAGCCAAAAUUCGUUUCUAAAAUCUUUCCAUUUCAUUUUUCUAGAUAUUUUCAAAGUAUGUUAAUAAAUGGAUUUGCAUUGCUUGUCCAUUUCAAGGUAAUGCACUUUCAGUCAAUUGAUAUAUUCUAUCACUUCUCACCUUUGAUAGGAUACACUUCUUAUAUUAGUUCUCAUAUCUUGGCAGGUGCCCCAGGAUGCAUCAAUGAUUCUCUUCUAACUGGACUGCAGUUUGUUUAUGGUUUUGAAAGUUUCUUUUUCGUUUCUCGAUGGGCGAUGCACCAACUGGUAACUUCUUGACCAUGUUGCAUCUAAGCUUCAUGAACUCAUCAAUGUUUGCUACUGUACAGUAGCUAUUCCAUGCCAUUUAAAAAUAAUCUCUGCCUCUUCACUUUAUGUAGCUGGUUGAGUGCCCAUCAAUCUACGAAAUGCUGCCAAAUCCAAACUUUGAGUGGAAGGAAAAACCAUUCGUUCAGGUUUGGCGAAAGAAUCCUGAAAAGGAUGGAACAGUAGAGCUAGUUUUGUAUGAAGCAACUGAUUGUGUUUCUCUGUUUGAAGAAGCUUUACAAAAUAAUGAGGUAUUCAUACUCACUUCUACAUGUUUUUGAUAAUAAUGCCAUUUUUGUUGUAUACUGGCCACGCAAGCUCAUUUACUAGAGACAAGAAACAUCCAGACACAGACUUACUGUAAUACGCAUGAAAAUCACAUGUACAUUGUCCAGUACAUUAAUUUCAUAGUAUACACAUUAUUUGUAGAUUCCAGAUAUUUUUUACUUUCGACAGUCAGGGUCUUAGGGACAAUAUGCACUACAAAUGAAUUUAUUCUUUGUGGUAGUGGCAGUGCACUAUGCAUGUUUCCUUUGAUUGUUAUGUCGUGUUUUUUAACCUAUAAAUGUAAUGAACUAUUCAGUACCAUGCCCAUGGAUAAACAUCAUAGAGACACUGCUACCUGGAGUUGCCUGGCAUCAGCCAUCAAGACAGUUAUAGAAUCAACGAGAUGUACCUUGGGAAAUGGAUCCAGAAUCUCCUUCUGGCACGACUGGUGGUUGGACUGUGGAAGGCUGAAAUUCUCUUUCCCAAUUCUCUUCACCUUUGCACAAUCGCCUUAUUGCACUGUUGCCUCGCAGUUCACUGAUGGACAAUGGAACCUCAAGCUACAUCCGAAUUUAACUAUGACAGCCACAAGAGAAAUGGAGGCCUUACUGAUGAUUCUAGUUGGAGUGCAUCCAUCUAUUUCUCACACUGAAACAGAUCAGAGAAACCCUUGUAUGAAAUCUGGAAAGGUCACCACUGCAUUCUUCUAUGAGCUGCUCACGUUCAGGGGGAUCCUUUGCCCAGCUGCUCCAAAAAUAUGGGACACUUUGAUACCCAACAGACAUCGGGUCUUCCUUUGGCUGGCUCUACGAGGUAGACUGAACACAAGAGAUAAUAUUCUCAAAAGAGGCUGGACGUCAAUCACAACACACAAUGGCUGCGACCUGUGCCCUGCAACCGAAAACAGUAGCCAUAUCAUCCUCAGAUGCAGGCUUGCUGAUGCUGUUUGGGAGCGGGCAGGCGUGCAAGACAAGGCAAGAAGCUCCAAUGAUCUCCAGAUUUUUCUACUCGCCACGGAACCCCCUGCAUAUGGCAACCUCUGGCAUAUUGUUUUUGCAGCCUGCGCCGUGUCUCUCUGGUCUGCCAGGAACGAGCAGGUCUUCCAGCACACACGAUGGUCCGCUGGCAAGGUGUUGAGCACGAUUGCAGACCUGCUGCGCCUGUGGAGUAAUCGUGCGAAUAACAAUGAGGAUAGGAUUAAGCUGUGUAAUUUUGCUGCUCUUUUCCAUACCCCUUUUUCUACCUCUUUUUAGGCUUGGUGACGGCUAGCUGCACUGUCGCAGCGCUUACGCCACCUUCAUGUAAUCUGGUUCUAACCAGCCGGGCCUCGCCCGUUUUGAAUGCAUAAGGUAGAUCAUGAUCUACCUUUCCUUUCAAAAAAAAAAUGAACUAUUCAGACAUUCCCACUUUAUCUUGUUUUAUUCUCAGAAAAACUUUUCCUUCCAUUAUUUUUUUAACAAGUGGAAGUUGAUUUAACUCUUGCAUGAAGCUAUAUAAUGUAUUUUUUGACUCUUAGUCAGCUACUUGUUUGAUACUUCAUUCUAUUUUCUCUCUCUGUAGCUCAAUUAUAAUGGGAAGACAAUUGCACUACCAUUCAAUAUGUCCAUCUACAAAUGGGCUACUGAGACUCGCUGUAUUCUUGAGAAUGCUGAACUACCAGAUACCGUGAGUUUUUAUAGUAUACAUGGGACAUCUUAUGAAACACCAUAUGAUGUUUGGUAAGUAUUAUGAUGGCAAUUAAUACUAACAUCGUGUGUUUUUAACUUUUUAUACUGUUCAAGAAAUGAUAGUGUGAGAUUCAUCAUUAUUGUUAGGGUACGUGAGAUUCAUUAUUAUUGUUAGCGUACUAUAACUCUAGUGUUGCUCAUUAGUUGGGAGCUUUCGAUACAAUAGCUGAUAUGAUUGAAUAACAAUGAAGCAAUUUCCUGUUGAUGUUCGCUUCACAGUAGUCGACUUUUAAGCUUCAAAACAAGUGCUAUCAGCUUAUAUUCAGUAUUUUUUCCUUCUGCAACGAUAACCAGAGUUGUUUUCUUAUAGAUAAAUUCAGAAGCUGAUGAAUCUGAUAGCAAAUGUACUGCGUUUCAUUCCUCCUGGCUUUCCUUUUUUGCACAGCUAUGGCUCUGAAAGCUCCCCAAUUGGAGAUCUCUCAGAAGUGUGCCGCACAGUGGUACUGUCUUCCGUUACUUGAAGUCUGACAUGUUCUUGUUGGAAUCUUGCAAUGUCUGUUUAUGGUAAUGACAUGUGAUUAUCCUAUUGUCAGCCUACAUACACAUACGUGGAUGGAGAUUGCACUGUUCCUGUCGAAUCAGCCACGGUAACCAUUCUUUCUGUCAUAGUGAAGUAUGCGAACUAUCUAGUUGCAAAAACAUCUUAUAUUGUGGGACGGAGGGGGUAUCUGUUUUAAAAGCAGAAGCUUUGGUGCACUAAGCUGUACUUUAGCUGAUUAUACUCCUCUAACAUGGGGUCCGGCAACGGUGGUUAUGCCUGUGUUACACAAAUGCUUAUCAUCUUACAUUCUGCAAUGUGUUUGUGUUCCUUUUCGGACGAUAGCAUAUCUUAUUACAACCAAUUUUAUCAGAUAGCGUGCCUUUGCCUAGCCUUGCCAUUCACAAUAUUGGAUUUACAAGCUUCCCCUGCACUUAUGCAUCUCUGUUUGCUGACAGGCUGAUGGGUUCCCGGCGAAAGAAAGGGUAGGCGUCAGGGCCGACCACCGAGGGCUGCUGUGUGAUGAGAAUGUGUUCAAGCUUCUCAAGAAAUGGCUCGGCAUAAGCGAGAACACACGGGGUAGGGUGUCGAAAUCGCAAAUCAUGGACAUGCUCCCAGAAAGGACGUCUGAUCAGGUCACUCUCCGCAGAGACUAGCUCCGGGUCCUGAUAGAUGUAACGUUGCUUUCCUUGAGGGAACAAUUAUUUUGGUCCUUUUCCUUGAAGAGACGACGCGCAGAUGUACUGGUGAUUGUGCACAAAACUUGUCUACGGUGUGGAACAGGCGUAAUCCAAAAUAGUUUCAGAACAUUGUGAAGCAACACUUCAUGGACAUAUAUUACAUUGUAUAAAUAUAUAUCAUAUGCACCUGGAAACUUUUGCAAAAUAUUAUGACUAUUUUUGUAUCAGACCAAGCGAUCGGCUUCAACAGUCCUCCGCUGGCAUUUCCCGUCCCCUUGCCUCCUAUCACCGGCUUCGGGUGGCUGGGUUCCCAGUUUCCUCUCGUUGUGGCUGGGUUCCCAGUUUCCUCUCGUUGCGAUCGCUGUGAAAGUAAGGUCCUUUGGUUUCUUCAUCGUCGUGCCAACAUCUUUCCCGACAUUGAAGUAGAGCUAGUGAAGGCAUGUUCGGGUCUAGAUGUGAGGUCCUGUCGCCGAUGGUCGACCCCAACAACUGACUUAAUCUCUUCACAGAGUCGCUGACGCUUGUCCGGUCGCGGAAUCCCAUCGUGGAGCUCUCGUCCGCCAGUGCCUUGCCAGAAUGACUCAACCAAGCGCGGCAACGGCAAACGACGAAGCAAUGAAGAACAUUAUCCAUGAUGGAGGCGGACACGAAGACGGACAAAUAGAUGACUACCAGCCGGAGCAAGAGCCAAUUGCCACAUCCGGACACCCAAUUGCCGGACAUCCAACAGGCAUACACCAAGCAGCCAGGAAUUUGGGCCGAACGGCCAAUAGCCGCCGGGUGCCGUCCCAAAGAAGAAGAGCAGAGGAUUGAUGUACUCCAGGCGUGGUUGGCCACCAGUGUGGACCCGUUUCAUGGACAGAGCCAAAGGGCAUAAUUGUGCAUGACUGUUUUCAUGAGCAAAUGUGCUAUGAUCUCUAUCACACGGAAGUGACCCAUGAUCACAAUCCGUAGUCAAGUUUUGCAGUUUGUACAAACAAGUGCAAAACCGGUGGCCCGUUCUCUCGCAGCAACGCCCGGUCAGCCCGGGUGGACUGGCAGGCGGGUGGUGGGAUCGGCAACGGGCCGGAUCCGACGGCUCGCGUGUGCCGAGCGAGGAUCCACGACGGGUGGUUCGAUCGAUACAACAGAAUAUUCUAAAAAAAAAGAUCGAUACAGUAGAAAAAAAUAAUACCAUACCGCCGGAGGAGGUAAGAUGGUUCCGAUUUAAAAGAACGGGACGGCCCAUCUCCGACGCGUCCGGCAUGGACGCAAACAGCAUUGAAAAAAUGUGUACAGUAUAUUUAUAAACCCCCUCAAAAAAAAGUGUACAGUAUUCGAAUGUAUAUAGAAAAAUGAAAUGUUGUAUAAAUUAAUUCGAUGGGGGAUGUUCUAUACAUUAGCACUAUAAGCAUUUUUUUGGCGUCAACUAUAUAUGUUUUUCUUUUAUGUGAAGCAACACGCUCUUUAGGUACCUCCGAGAAACUGAGUUUGUGACGUGCACACUGCGCUCUUGUUUUAUCAUUCGUUUUAUGACCUCGUCAACUUCGCACUCUUUUUCUUGGUGUAGGUUAACGAGGCUCUUCUCUUUAGGACACAUCCACUAAAGUAGAACAAAGAAGAUUCAUGCAAGAAUCAAGGUAGAAACAAUAAAGAUAUAAACACAAUAAGACUUGCCUUUUUGAACUAAAGAUGUAUUUCAUGAAAGGUUUGCGAUGGUACAGUAUUCUAAUCUGACACUACCAUUGGUCCUAUUUUUCAAAGACAAAAAGACGCCUGAAUACGGCGUGAGUCCAACAUAGACUCGCUAGGUGGUGAAAGACGACAGAAGUUUGUAAAGAUUUUGUCACAAACAUAAUAAAGGGACCAAACAUUCCAUACACCUCGUCCUUGUCGAAGAAUGAUCCUCAUUUCAAAAGGGGAGGGAGAAUACGAGGGCGGAUAGUUACCGGACGCCAUGGCGGAUCCGACGGGCGGGCGGCGACGACGACGCGGAGGAGGCUUGCGAGGGAGGGAAGGCAGUUGCGGUGAAGCGGCGAAAGGUAGGAGAGGAGAGGAGGAAAACCCUUGAUGAGGGGAGGUUGCUGAUUGGGAAAAGGCGGAGAGCAAGUAGGCGUAUUUUUAUGCUUUCCCCCUCUAACAAGAAAUUAUUUAUUUGAGGUAAAGGCAUCACAUGCCAAGGAGCUUGUAGAAAAUGUGAUGAUUUAGUCCAGGUGCUUGCAAAACUCCAUCCGUCACCCAACAACUUGCAUGGAAUGUGAUGAUUUAGUCCAGGUGCUUGCAAAACUCCAUCCGUCACCCAACAACUUGCAUGGAAUGUGAUAAUUUGGUCCAAAGUGAAUCAAGAAGCACCAAGUGGCGCCGCGCUGGCUGAUCCGGUCAUCAACGUCGGUUUUGCAGGUACACCCUUGCCAUUUUCACUAGUACAAAACAGGGCUUUGGUUCGGGCAGGGCAAGCCCAUUAGUCCCGGUUCAGUCACGAACCGGGACCCAUGGGGGCAUUUGUCCCGGUUCUUUAGCCCAGGGGGCCGGCCGGGGCCUCGUGGGCAUUGGUCCCGGUUCGUAUGGACCCAUUUGUCCCGGUUCUAGGCACGAACCGGGACCAAAGGGCCUCUCUUCUGGCCCACAAACAUUGGUCCUGGUUCUUGGCUCGAACCGGAACAAAAGGCUGGGCUUUAGUCCCGGUUCCAGCCACAAACCGGGACAAAUGAGUUGCCUAUAUAUACCACGUCGCCGCAGCAGAGCACUCCACAGUGCUCUGUUUUUUCUGGCCAGCGAGGAGAGGGCAUUUGGGUGUUCUAGCUCACCUCCUAUGCACAUGGGGUGUUCGAUGAAAUGCCCGAGCCACGUUAGUUAAGCUUUCUCCUCUCGAAGCUCGACCUCCAAGCUCCAUUUUUCCCGAGAUUUGUCUAGGUUUAGCGGUCCGUCCCGUCCCGUCCCCGUCUUCACCACCGUCGAUCGCCCGCGCCGAUCUCGUCGCCUGCACCACCGUGGUGAGCCUCUUGUUCUUAUCUUCUUCUGAAGAAAAAAAUUCUUACUUUAGAUAGAUACGUGUCUAAUUUUCUUACUUUUAUUAUUGCUUGUUAUUAUAUAGUGCGAUGGCUUUGGUAUCCGCCCCCGUCGGCCCUCGUCCUGGCUAUGAUUCGGAUGUGGUAUAUAUAUUAUCUUUUAUAACUAUUUGGUUCAUUUAUUGUUUAUAACAAUUAUGCCCAUCAAGUUGACAUAGAUUUUAUUUAUGUAGGAGGUAGUUGAACCGGAAAUUCCAACCGACCCUAUUGUCGAGAGGUUAAAUUUAGUUGAAGAAGAAAACAAUUACUUGAAGGAAAAAAUUGAGGAGAAGAUGAUAUUGGAGUUGCAUGUUGCGGAUGUCGUCGAUGAUCACAAGAUCAAGAUGGAUGCAAUGCGGUUGAAGAUUAGAAAGAUUAGAAAAUAUGCCAUUCAUACCGAGGCUUGGUAUCAUUAUGCCGUUGGAUCGCAUUUGUUGUUGCAUUGAAAGGUUUUACAUAGUUUCAAUGUAUGGUUUAACUAUAUGCUCUGGAGAGCUAUAUGUUGUUCAAUGAGAACUAUGUAUGUACUUUGUUUUUAAUGUGAUGAUGAACUUCUACUAAUUUGGUCACUUAUCUAUUCAUGAGAGCUAUAUAUACUAAACUGAUGAUGUGGCUUUGAAUGGUGCAUUUUUGAUGACCCACAAGUAUAGGGGAUCUAUCGUAGUCCUUUCGAUAAGUAAGAGUGUCGAACCCAACGAGGAGCAGAAGGAAAUGAUAAGCGGUUUUCAGCAAGGUAUUCUCUGCAAGCACUGAAAUAAUAGGUAACAGAUAGUUUUGUGAUAGGAUAAUUUGGAACGAGUAACAAGUAACAAAAGUAAAUAAAGUGCAGCAAGGUGGCCCAAUCCUUUUUGUAGCAAAGGACAAGCCUGGACAAACUCUUAUAUGAUGUAAAGCGCUCCCGAGGACACAUGGGAAUAUCGUCAAGCUAGUUUUCAUCAUGUUCAUAUGAUUCGCGUUCGGUACUUUGAUAAUUUGGUAUGUGGGUGGACCGGUGCUUGGGUGCUGCCCUUACUUGGACAAGCAUCCCACUUAUGAUUAACCUCUAUUGCAAGCAUCCGCAACUACAACAAAAGUAUUAAGGUAAACCUAACCAUAACAUGAAACAUAUGGAUCCAAAUCAGCCCCUUACGAAGCAACACAUAAACUAGGGUUUAAGCUUCUGUCACUCUAGCAACCCAUCAUCUACUUAUUACUUCCCAAUGCCUUCCUCUAGGCCCAAAUAAUGGUGAAGUGUCAUGUAGUCGACGUUCACAUAACACCACUAGAGGAAAGACAACAUACAUCUCAUCAAAACGAACGAAUACCAAAUUCACAUGACUACUAAUAGCAAGACUUCUCCCAUGUCCUCAAAAACAAUGUAACUACUCACAAAGCAUAUUCAUGUUCAUAAUCAGAGGGGUAUUAAUAUGCAUAUAGGAUAUGAACAUAUGGUCUUCCACCAAAUAAACCAACCAGCAUCAACUACAAGGAGUAAUUAACACUACUAGCAACCCACAUAUACCAAUCCCGGACUUGGAGACAAGAAUUGGAUACAAGAGAUGAACUAGGGUUUUGAGAGGAGAUGGUGCUGGUGAAGAUGUUGAUGGAGAUUGCCCUCUCCCGAUGAGAGGAGCGUUGGUGAUGACGAUGGCGAUGAUUUCCCCCUCCUGGAGGGAAGUUUCCCCGGCAGAACAGCUCCGCCAGAGCCCUAGAUUGGUUCCGCCAAGGUUCCGCCUCGUGGCGGCGGAGUCUCGUCCGGGAAGAUGGCUUAUAAUUUUUUCCUCAUCGAAAGACUCCAUAUAGCAGAAGAUGGCCAUCGGAGGGCCACCAGGGGGCCCAUGAGGUAGGGGGGCGCGCCCCACCCUCGUGGGCAGGGUGUGCCCCUCUGGUGAACUUCUUGCGCUCAGUAUUUUUUAUAUAUUCUGAAAAUGUCUUCCGUGAAGUUUCAGGACUUUUGGAGCUGUGCAGAAUAGGUCUCUAAUAUUUGCUCCUUUUCCAGCCUAGAAUUCCAGCUGCCGGCAUUCUCCCUCUUUAUGUAAACCUUGUAAAAUAAGAGAGAAUAGGCAUAAGUAUUAUGACAUAAUGUGUAAUAAUAGCUCAUAAUGCAAUAAAUAUCGAUAUAAAAGCAUGAUGCAAAAUGGACGUAUCAACUCCCCCAAGCUUAGACCUCGCUUGUCCUCAAGCAAAAGCCGAAAUCGAAAAAUAUGUCCACAUGUUUAGAGAUAGAGGUGUCGAUAAAAAUAAAAUACGGACAUGAGGGCAUCAUGAUCAUUCUUAUAAUAGCAACUUAUAUAAUUCUUGUCAUAUGAUCUCUUAUGCCAGAGUAACAAUUCAAUCACAAUUUCAAGUAUGAAUCAUAAACUUCAUUGAAAACUAACAAACUAUAAUCUCAGUCAUUGAAGCAAUUGCAAUGUAUCAUAUCAUAGGAAAGAGUCAAUAUAAGAGCUUUUCAGCAAGUCCACAUACUCAACUAUCAUUUAGUCUUUCACAAUUGCUAACACUCACGCAAUACUUAUGGGUAUAGAGUUUUAAUCGGACACAAAGAAAGAUAGGGGCUUAUAGUUUUGCCUUCCAACGAUUUACCUCAAGGGUAAUGUCAACAAUAAUAGUUCAUGAAAACUCACAUCCAAUUAGCCAUAUAUACCAGGAUCUUUCCAACAUGUUGUGCUUGCCAAAAGAUAAAAUGUAAAAAGGAAAGGUGAAGAUCACCAUGACUCUUAUGUAAGGUAGGAGAUAAAAGUAAAAGAUAGGCCCUUCACAGAGGGAAGCAGAGGUUUCAUGCGCUUUUAUGGUUGGAUGCACAAAAUCUUAAUGCGAAAGAACGUCACUUUUAUUGCCACUUGUGAUAUGGACCUUUAUUAUGCAGUCCAUCGCUUUUAUUUCUUCCAUAUCACACGAUCAUACAAAUUUUAUUUUCUCCCACACUAAUAAGUCAUACAUAUUUAGAGAGCAACUUUUAUUGCUUGCACCGAUGACAACUUACUUGAAGGAUCUUACUCAAUCCAUAGGUAGAUAUGGUGGACUCUCAUGGCAAAGCUGGUUUAAGGCUGUUUGGAAGCACAAGUAGUAUCUCUACUUGGUGCAAAGAAUUUGGCUAGCAUGAGGGGGAAAGGCAAGCUCAACCAUGUUGGAUGAUCCAUGACAAUAUAAUUUAUCUCAGAUGUAAGAAAACAUAACCCAUUACAUUGUCUUCCUUGUCCAAUGUCAGCUCUUUAGCAUGUCAUAUUUUAAUGAGUGCUCACAAUCAUAAAAGAUGUCCAAGAUAGUAUAUUUAUAUGUGAAGACCUCUCUUUCUUUAUUACUUCCUAUUAAUUGCAAUGAUGACCAAAACUAUGUUUGUCAACUCUCAACAACUUUUAUUCAUCAUAGUUUUUCUAUGUGAGCUCAUUACUCUCCAUAAGAUCCAUACGAUCUCUUUGUUUCUUUUUAUUUCUUUCUCUUUUCUGUUAUUCACUUAAGAUCAUGGAAAAAUAGUCAAGCCCUUGACUCAACACUAAUAUUUAUUAUAUAUAGCUCACGGACUCGAUUACAUAGAAGGAUCAUAAAGCAAAACUCACAACUAGAUCAUACUAAGAACUCUUAUUCUACUAGAUCAAGAUAUUAUCAAAAGGAUCGAACUAAGAAAAACGGCAAAGAUAAAAGUGACGGUGAUACGAUACCGGGGCACUCCCCCAAGCUUGGCAGUUGCCAAGGGGAGUGCCCAUACCCAUGUGAUUAUGUAUCCUUUGUUGGUGAAGAAGGUGGAGUUGUUGGUGAUGGAUACUCGCACAUCGAGCGUAGGAGGUCUUCUAAUUUGCGGAUAAUGCCUUUGAGUGCGAUGAUAUGCUCCUUCAACAAAAUAUUUUCACGUGUGAGAUACUUAUUUUGUAUACGAGCUAACUCGAUCAUCUUGAAAGCUUCGAUCUCAGUUGGGGUAAGAAGAUUUUGAUCAAGUUGAAGGAUGUCUUUUGUUGCCAGAACUUGGUCCUCCGUGGUCUUCUUGAUCCCUUCAUCCUUAUUGAUUUCCAUGGGUUCUUCUCUCUUCAGCUCUAUCUUCAUUAGCCAAGCAUUGUUGCCCUCAUGGUUGCAGGAGGAGGGAGACGACAUAAUGCCUGGCCUUGAUAACCCUGACAGAAAACAGCUCGAAACAAAGACAAGAGAUAUUUGCGUGAUACGGGGGUCAAAACCUUCGGGAGGUUAUAUAAUGAAUUUUUACCGACCAAAAUAUGUAUCGUGUAAGAAAACGGAGUCCGGAAAGCGCACGAGGUGCCCACGAGGUAGGGGGCGUGCCCAGGGGGUAGGGCGCGCCCUCCACCCUUGUGGAGCCCUCGUGUCCUUCCCGGACUGCUUCUUAUUUUUCUAUUUUUAUAAAUAUUCUAAAAUGGAGAAAUAUUUCCAUUAGAACUGUUUUGGAGUAGGUUUACUUACCGUACCACAUACCUAUUCCUUUUCGGAGUCUGAAACGUUCCGAAAAGUGUCCCUUAUGUAUUCCUCCGGGGUUACGGUUUCAAUAACAUUGGUUUCAACAUUUAUAGGAUUACCUGAGAAAUAAUGUUUAAUUCUUUGACUGUUCACCACCUUCGGAUUUAUGCCUUCGAAGUUGUUGAUUUUUAUGGCACCGGAACGAUAGACCUCCUCGAUAACGUAAGGACCUUCCAAUUUAGAGAGAAGUUUUCCUGCAAAAAAUCUUAAAUGAGAGUUGUAUAGCAAUACAUAAUCAUCUACAUUAAACUCACGCUUUUGUAUCCUUUUGUCAUGCCAUCUUUUAACUUUUUCUUUAAAUAAUUUGGCAUUCCUCAUAGGCUUGGGUUCUCCAUUCAUCAAGUGAGCUAAUGUCAAAUAACCUCUUCUCACCGGCAAGUUUGAAAUCAUAGUUGAGCUCUUUAAUUGCCCAAUAAGCCUUAUGUUCUAGUUCAAGAGGUAAGUGACAUGCUUUUCCAUAAACCAUUUUAUACGGAGACAUACCCAUAGGAUUUUUAUAUGCAGUUCUAUAGGCCCAUAAUGCAUCAUCAAGUUUCUUGGACCAAUUCUUUCUAGAUCUAUUAACAGUCUUUUGCAAAAUUAAUUUGAGUUCUCUGUUACUCAAUUCUACUUGACCACUAGACCGUGGGUGAUAAGGAGAUGCAAUUCUAUGAUUAACAUCAUAUUUAGCAAGCAUUUUACGGAAAUAACCAUGAAUAAAAUGUGAACCACCAUCAGUCAUUAAAUAUCUAGGGACUCCCUUCAUCCUCGAUAUAUGCAGCACACCCCCUAUGCUUCACAGACGAAGUAAUGGAUCACCAAAUCCCAGAGGGUUUCAAACCCGUAAAUUUCGAAUCAUACGACAGUACAACAGAUCCUGCGGUAUGGAUCGAGGACUUCCUCCUACACAUCCACAUGGCCCGCGGUGACGAUCUACAUGCCAUCAAAUACCUCCCACUCAAACUCAAAGGACCAGCUCAGCAUUGGCUCAACAACCUGCCAGCAGAAUCCAUUGGCUGUUGGGAAGAUCUGGAAGCCGCAUUCCUCAACAACUUUCAGGGCAUUUAUGUGCGACCACCAGAUGCCGAUGACUUGAGCCACAUAAUUCAGCAGCCAGAGGAAUCGGCCAGACAAUUCUGGACACAGUUCCUGACAAAGAAAAAUCAAAUUGUCGACUGUCCGGAUGCAGAGGCCCUAGCAGCUUUUAAGCACAACAUCCGCGACGAGUGGCUCGCCCGACACCUUGGUCAGGAAAAGCCGAAAUCUAUGGCAGCCCUCACGACACUCAUGACCCGCUUUUGCGUGGGAGAGGAUAGCUGGCUGGCUCAAAGCAAUAACAUAUCAAAGAACCAUGGUACUUCGGAUACCAAGGAUAGCAAUGGCAGGUCAUGUCGCAACAAACACAAGCGCCGCAUCAACAAUGACAAUACCGAGUAUACGGCAGUCAAUGCCGGAUUCAGAGGCUCUAAACCCGGUCAGCGGAAAAAGCCAUUCAAAAGAAGCACUCCAGGCCCGUCCAGUUUGGAACGUAUACUCGAUCGCUCGUGUCAAAUACACGGCACCCCCGACAAGCCAGCCAACCACACCAACAGGGAAUGUUGGGUGUUCAAGCAGGUCGGCAAGUUAAAUGCCGAAAACAAAGAUAAGGGGUUACAUAGUGAUGACAAGGAGGAGCCCCGACCGCCGAACACCGGAGGACAGAAGAGGUUCCCCCCACAAGUGCGGACGGUGAACAUGAUAUACGCAACCCACAUACCCAAGAGGGAGCGGAAGCGUGCGCUAAGGGACGUAUAUGCGUUGGAGCCAGUCACCCCAAAGUUCAACCCAUGGUCCUCCUGUCCGAUCACCUUCGAUCGCAGGGACCACCCCACUAGUAUCCGUCAUGGCGGAUUCGCCGCACUGGUCCUAGACCCAAUCAUCGACAAAUUUCACCUCACUCGAGUCCUUAUGGAUGGCGGCAGCAGCCUGUACCUGCUUUAUCAGGACAUAGUGCGCAAAAUGGGUAUAGACCCCUCAUGGAUCAAACCCACAAAAACGACCUUCAAAGGCAUCAUACCAAGUGUAGAGGCCCAUUGCACAGGCUCAGUCACACUGGAAUUGGUCUUCGGAUCCGCGGAUAACUUCCGAAGCGAGGAGUUAAUCUUCGAUAUAGUCCCGUUCCGCAGUGGCUAUCACGCACUGCUCGGGCGAACCACAUUUGCGAGAUUCAAUGCGAUACCGCAUUAUGCAUACCUCAAGCUCAAGAUGCUAGGACCUCGGGGGGUCAUCACAGUCAAUGGAAACACAGAGCACUCUCUCCGCACAGAGGAGCACACUGCGGCCCUCGCAGCAGAAGCACAAAGCAACCUCUUCAGGCAAUCCACCAGUUCGGUGAUUAAACACCCGGACACCGUCAAGCGCGCCCGGAGUAAUCUGCAACAAUACCGCCUGGCACGUUUCGAGCUCGCAUAGCAAUGCGGCCCCCACCCCAGUUCCAGCCAAACGGCGAAAUCCAUGCCACGCAUACAUAAUUACGCAUUGAAAAUACCAUGGGCAUAGGUGGGGGGGGGGCACGACUACGGCACGCCCCAAAACGCGGCUCAACCGCACUAGGGGCUUACCGCUUUGUUAUUUUUUCUCUCUUUCAUGACUUUACUCUCUGGAAACCCCGUCCGGCAUUACGAUUGUCGGACACACGAUACAACAACCAAGGAGGCAGAAAGCUACGUCGCACCAUGGAAUUCCCAGGUGAUCUCUGGUAACGAGUGAAAUGCCUGCUUUAAAUACCAUUCCUCAGCUUGCCCUUGGAGGGGACAUGUCAAAUAGUCCUACUUUUUGCUUAUCGCACUACUUGUAUCAUUCUGCUUCGACGCACCUUUUUGAAUAAACAAUGCAUAACACUAGACUAUUACCGCAUUUCUAUUCUUUAUAUAUAUAUAUAUGUUCAUUCAUGACAUUCAACACCCGUACGCUCUGGUACGGCCAGCCAGGGGCUUAAGCGUACCCUAUAAUACGGCGUGAGAAGUCCGAACACUUUCGACAGUGCGGCACCCCAAACUUAUAGCAUUAUAUGCAUCAGCUCCGAAUCAUGUCUUGGGUCAAUAGUUGGGUUUGCCCGGCUCCCAUGUUUUCGUACCUUACGUUCUGCUAUAUCGGCUAAGAUAGCAAUGGGAGAACUACUGCGAUUGUGCCCCAGUUCAUCUGGGCAAGCACCUCAGUAGAGAAAGCUAAAACUGUCUGUCAUGAUAAGGUGAGAGCUGGUCGCUGUUCGAGAGGUCUCGAGUCCCUAAAGACUUAUGCCGCUUAGGGCGAGGAGUCGGCUUUAUCCGGCUUAGGCAUGUAUAGCGCCCCGAAUUCGACCUUCCGAAUACUAGGGGCUUCGCCAAAAUUUAAAAUUGUAGACUUCUAUGGCUAAGUGAGAGUGAUAAAGCAUUAUAGUCCGAUUUCCUUGUUCGUUGCGCUGAGAACCUCCCUCGAAGGACCCAAAAAUGGGAAAAAAAGUGCUCAGAUUUAUCCCGAACACCCCAGCACUCGUGGCAUGGGGGCAGAAGCCGACGACUGGCCAUCUCUCAGAUUUGAUAAACAGCCGCACAAAAGGUAAUAUUUUAAAUUCAAACAAGCGUUGCAUAGCGCACAUGAACAAGUUUUCAUAAUACAGGAUCACACGAGUAAGUUCAUUCAAAAAUUACAUCCUUCGCACACUCGUCCACCACAAGACGGGCACCCUUCAGGACACCCUCAUAAUACAUUUCAGGGUGGCGAUGCUCCUUGCCCUGCGGCGGCCCCUCCUUCACCAGCUUCUCGGCGUCCAUCUUGGCCCAGUGCACCUUCGCAUGGGCAAAAGCCCGGCGUGCACCUUCGAUGCAGACAGACCGCUUUAUGACUUCCAGCCGUGGGCAGGCAUCCACAAGCCGCCUCACCAGGCCGAAGUAGCUAUUGGGAAGGGAGUCGCCAGGCCACAUCCGGACUAUAAGGCCCCUCAUGGCCUGUUCGGCCGCCUUGUGCAGCUCGACCAGUUGCUUCAGCUGGUCGCUCACAGGCAUCGGGUGUUCGGUCCCAGUAUACUGAGACCAGAACAACUUCUCCGUCGAGCUUCCCUCCUCGGCCUGGUAGUACUUUGCGGCAUCUGACACGCUGCGGGGCAAAUCUGCGAAUGCUCCUGGAGAGCUCCAGACUCGGGUAAGUAACAAGUAAUUUACUUUCACAUGCUUGCUUUGCAUAAUGAAUGCCUUACCCGCCGCUAUCUUCCUCAUCGCCUCAAUUUCCUGGAGGGCCUUUUGGGAUUCAGCCUUGGCAUGCUUUGUGCUCUCAAGGGCCGCGACAAGCUCGGACUCUCACGUCUUCGAGUCAAGCUCCAAGGUCUCGUGCCUCUUCAUGAGAGCCUGGAGCUCUUGCUGCACCUCGCCCACCCGUGCCUCUUGUCUCUCCCGCUCGGUGCACUCCUUGGCCGAUUUGUUUUCAGCCUCGGACAGCGCUUGCUUCAGGGUUUCCACUUCGGUCGUGGUCCCUGGCACAUCCAUGAUGAUCCUAUCAUUUUGCAACCACAUCUUUAUAUAUAUAUAUAUAUACAUACAUAGACAAGGUAUUACUUACCUUUGUUCUCCUCGAGCUGCCUCUUGGCAAGGCCGAGCUCUUUCUCGGACCGCUCAAGGUUCUGCUUCAGUGCGGCGACCUCCGCAGUCAGUGCGGCAGAGGUCAGCAGCGAAGCCUACAUACACAUACAUACAUACUUAUAUUAGACUCCUACAGAUAUUAUUUGAUCCUCUAUUCGGCUUUUCUUUGUGAACACCAAACAGAGCAUCAGGGGCUACUGCCUAUGCAGUAAUAUUUUCCUAUAUUUUAAAUACUUACCUCAAAGCCUGUUAGAAGGCUGGCAUAGGCUUCAGUCAGUCCGCUCUUGGCGGACUGAACCUUCUUGAUCACCGCACUCAUAAUAGUGCGGUGCUCUUCAUCGAUGGAAGCGCCGCGAAGCGCUCCCAGCAGGUUAUCCGGUGCCUCUGGAUGGACAGAGGUCACCGGCACGGGCGGCUUGCCCCUCUUGGAAGGGGGCCGCCUGCCGGAGUCCGAAACCACUGGUGGUUCCGGCGCGGUGUUCGGCUGAGGGCCGAACUUGGAGCCCUUGGGAGUCUUGCUCCCUUUGCGCCUGGAGUCCGGAAGGUCGCCUUGAGGCGCCUCCAGGAAUAUCUCCCCCGGCUCGGUGCCCCUUGAGACAAUACCUCGACAUUAUCCGUAGGGCGAGGAGAGGAGGCAGUUGGAAGUGAUUCGCUAUUCAUAUCCGAUGAGUCCAAGGAACCGUCCGACGAGGAUACGUCGAUAUGGGCUCGGGGCGGACUGCAUAAUCAUAUUCGACGUUAUGAGAAGCAGUGCAACAAAAGUAUGCGAUGAGUUACUCUGGUAUCCAAAUACUUACGACUUCACCAGGGGCUUGGCCCUGAGUAACCACUCGCCUUCGCUGUCGGCGGCGGUGGUGGAACAGUCCGGAAGGAGAGUCCUUCCCUUCUUGGACCCUCCGGCCUCCCCGGUUCGAGCGGCCUUCCUUUUCUUGUCUCCCCAGGCUGGAGGGGGAGAAUCUUCAUCUUCCUCCUCCUCGUUUUCACGAGAGGAGUGCGUCUCGGAGUUAUCGGACGAUGAGUCCGAUACCACCUGGCGCCGGGAACUCUUUCGGGUUCCCGUGACCUUCUUCUUGAUCUUCUUCUCCAGCACCUCAUAAGGAGCCAGGGUCCGCAUCUCCGUCAAGAGAGCGUCUGCAGGGUCUUCGGGCUGAGGGGCCGGGCAGUCAAUCUGCUCCGAUGUCUCCACCCAGUCCUGUCAAAGGCAUGGGAGCUCAGAUCCCGCACAUGGCUAAACUAUGAAAAAUAAAUACCCUACAAGAUGUACAGAACUUACCGGAUUCGCAGGGCGCGUCGUGCUUAGCCCGCGGUCCUCGGUAAGGGGAGGGGGGACCUCGGCGCCCUUGAACAGCACCUUCCAGACGUCCUUAUGCAUCGUGUCGAAGAGCACGCGUAGAGUCUGGUGCUGGGAUGGGUCGAACUCCCAUAAGUUGAAAGCCCGUUGUUGACACGGGAGGAUCCGGCGGAAGAGCAUGACCUGGACUAUGUUGACAAGCUUGAGUUUCUUGCCUAUCAUGUUCCGGAUACACUUCUGGAGUCCGUCCAGCUCCACCGAUGAGCCCUAGGACAGGCCCUUCUCCUUCCAGGAAGUGAGCCGCGUGGGGAUUCUGGAUCAAAACUCAGGGGCCGCCACCCAGUUGGUGUCGGCGUGGCUCGAUGAUGUAGAACCACCCCGAUUGCCACCCCUUUAUGGUCUCCACGUUGGAGCCCUCGAGCCAUGUAACGUUGGGCAUUUUGCCCACCAUGGCUCCGCCGCAUUCCUCUUGUUGGCCGCCUACUACCUUCAGUUUGACAUUGAAGGUCUUCAGCCACAGGCCGAAGUGGGGCCGGACGCGGAGGAAAGCCUCGCACACGACGAUGAAUGCCGAGAUGUUGAGGAUGAAAUUCAGAGCUAGAUCAUGGAAGUCCAACCCAUAAUAGAACAUAAGGCCACAUGCGAAUGGAUGGAGGGGAAACCCCAGUCCGCGGACGAAGUGGGUGAGGAAAACCACCCUUUCGUAAGAUUCCGGGGUAGGGACGAUUUUCCCUACGGCUGGUAGCCGGUGCGCAAUAUCCGCGGCUAAGUAUCCGGCCCCACGCAGCUUUUUGAUGUCUUCCCCCGUAACGGAGGAGACCAUCCACUUGCCUCCCGCCCCGAACAUGUUUGGAGAGGGUUGAGGAGAAGGAUGUGGACUUGGGCGCUGGAGCUGAGUGCACGAGAAUGGAUGAGCAAGGAGGAAGAAGGCGUGGGUAGAAAAAGGUGAACCCUUAUCCCUUUAUAAGGGCGGACUAAACUAUGCGCCCCCACCAGCCUGGUAAAACUUGCUUAUCCCCCAAGCGCCGUAAUUGAUGGCGCGGUUGGGUUACCCACGUCCGUAUUGAUGGGAAUCCCGUAAUAAGGGGACACGAUCUCUGCUUCGACAAGACGUGUCAAGGAAACCGCCUCGCGAAACACGCUGAGGUUGGUUGUGAAAAACGAUUCGAAUGGUGGCCUGGUUGUGGUGUGAUGUCACACUGCGGAAUGCGUCGGCAGAUUAGAUUUGUGAAAAUAUUAUUCUCCCUACGGUUGUAUGUGGAACUUGUUUUGCAGAGCCGGACACGAUCCUCGUGUUCAAAAUCUUCUAUGAAGUAUUCGGAGGAGGAACCCGCCUUGCAAUGCCGAAGACAAUCUGCGCGCCGGACUCAUCGUCAUUGAAGCCUGGUUCAGGGACUACUGAGGGAGUCCUGGAUUAGGGGGUAUCCGGACAGCCAGAUUAUAUCCUUUGGCCGGACUGUUGGACUAUGAAGAUACAAGAUUGAAGACUUCGUCUCGUGUCCGGAUGGGACUCUCCUUGGCGUGGAAGGCAAGCUUGGCAAUACGGAUAUGUAGAUCUCCUUCCUUGUAACCGACCCUGUGUAACCCUAUCCCCCUCCAGUAUCUAUAUAAACCGGAGGGUUUAGUCCGUAGGACCAACAACAUCAAUCAUACCAUAGGCUAGCUUCUAGGGUUUAGCCUCUUUGAUCUCGUGGUAGAUCAACUCUUGUAAUACUCAUAUCAUCAAGAUCAAUCAAGCAGGAGUAGGGUUUUACCUCCAUCAAGAGGGCCCGAACCUGGGUAAAAACAUCAUGUCCCCCGUCUCCUGUUACCAUCCACCUAGACGCACAGUUCGGGACCCCCUACCCGAGAUCCGCCGGUUUUGACACCGACAGACUCCAAACCUUGGAAAAAUAACUUCUUUAAGCAUUUUAAUAGAAGUGUUAUGAUCAACACUACUAGUUGGAAUAGCUUCUACCCACUUAGUAACGUAAUCAACAGCAACUAAAAUAUGUGUAUAUCCAUUAGAGGCAGGAAAAGGUCCCAUAUAAUCAAAGCCCCAAACAUCAAAUGGUUUAAUAACAAGUGAAUAAUUCAUAGGCAUUUCUUGACGUCUACUAAUAUUACCAAUUCUUUGACAUUCAUCACAAGAUAAGACAAACUUACGGGCAUCCUUGAAGAGAGUAGGCCAAUAAAAACUGGAUUGUAAUACCUUAUGUGCAGUUCUAUCUCCAGCGUGGUGUCCUCCAUAAGCCUCGGAGUGACACUUGCAUAGGAUCUGUUCCUGUUCAUGCCCAGGUACACAACGUCUAAUAACACCAUCUACUCCUUCUUUAUAAAGAUGUGGGUCAUCCCAAAAGUAAUGUCUCAAAUCAUAGAAGAACUUUUUCUUUUGCUGGUAUGUAAAGCUAGGUGGUAUAAAUUUAGCAACAAUGUAAUUAGCAUAAUCAGCAUACCAUGGAGCAGUAUGAGAAGCAUUUAUGACAUUUAAUUUUUCAUCAGGAAAGCUAUCAUCAAUAGGUAGUGGGUCAUCAAGAACAUUUUCUAACCUAGACAAGUUGUCUGCAACGGGGUUCUCAGCUCCCUUUCUAUCAAUAAUAUGCAAAUCAAAUUCUUGUAGCAAGAGAACCCAUCUAAUAAGUCUAGGUUUAGCAUCUUUCUUUUCCAUGAGAUAUUUAAUAGCAGCAUGAUCAGUGUGAAUAGUUACUUUAGAAUCAACAAUAUAAGGUCUGAACUUAUCACAAGCAAAUACAACUACUAAGAAUUCUUUUUCAGUAGUAGCAUAAUUUCUCUGAGCAUUGUCUAGAGUUUUACUAGCAUAUUGAAUUACAUUUAAUUUCUUAUCAACUCUUUGCCCUAGAACAGCACCUACAGCAUAAUCACUAGCAUCACACAUAAUUUCAAAAGGUAAAUUCCAAUCAGGUGGCUGAACAAUAGGUGCAGAGAUCAAUACUUUCUUAAGUAUUUCAAAUGCUUCUACGCAACCAUCAUCAAAAACGAAUGGUAUAUCUUUUUGUAAUAAAUUAGUCAGAGGCCGAGAAAUUUUCGAGAAGUCCUUAAUGAACCGCCUAUGAAAACCGGCAUGACCAAGGAAACUUCUUAUACCUUUGAUGUCCUUGGGACAUGGCAUCUUUUCAAUAGCAUCAACCUUGGCUUUAUCAACCUCAAUACCUCUUUCAGAAACUUUAUGCCCUAAGACAAUACCUUCAUUAACCAUAAAGUGGCACUUUUCCCAAUUCAAGACAAGAUUAGUUUCUUCACAUCUCUGCAAAACUCGGUCAAGGUUGCUUAAGCAAUCAUCAAAAGAGGAUCCAUAGACGGAAAAAUCGUCCAUGAAAACCUCACAAAUCUUUUCACAAAAGUCAGAGAAUAUAGCCAUCAUGCAUCUUUGAAAGGUAGCAGGUGCAUUACAUAAACCAAAAGGCAUAUGUCUAUAAGCAAAAGUACCAAAAGGGCAAGUAAAAGUAGUCUUUGAUUGAUCAUUGGCUAACACGGGUAUUUGAGAGAAACCAGAAUAACCAUCUAGAAAGCAAAAAUGUGUAUGUUUGGAUAAUCUUUCUAGCAUUUGAUCGAUAAAAGGUAAGGAGUAAUGAUAUUUUCUAGUAGCUUUAUUUAAUUUGCGGAAAUCAAUUACCAUCCUAUAAUCUGUAAUAAUUCUUUGCGGGAUCAACUCAUCUUUAUCAUUAGGAACGAUAGUAAUACCUCCCUUCUUAGGGACACAAUGGACAUGACUCACCCACUGACUGUCAGCAAAAAGAUAAAUUAUACCUGCCUCAAGAAGCUUUAGUAUUUCCUUUCUUACCACUUCCUUCAUCUUAGGAUUCAGCCAUCGUUGAUGAUCACGAACUGGUUUGGCAUCUUCCUCCAGAUUUAUUUUGUGUUGACACAGAGUGGGACUAAUGCCCUUAAGAUCAUCAAGAGUAUAUCCAAUAGCAGCACGGUGCUUCUUCAGAGUUUUCAAUAAUCUCUCCUCUUCAUGCUCUGAAAGGUUAGCACUAAUAAUAAAAGGAUAUAUCUUUUUCUCAUCAAGAUAAGCAUAUUUAAGAGUAUCAGGUAACGGUUUAAGCUCAAACACGGGAUCACCCUUGGGUGGAGGAGGAUCCCCUAGGAUUUCAACAGGCAAAUUGUGUUUCAGGAUGGGUUCCUGUUUAAAGAAUACUUCAUCUAUUUCCCUUCUUUCAUUCAUAAACAUAUCAUUUUCAUGGUCUAGCAAAUAUUGUUCUAAAGGAUCACUAGGAGGUACGGCAAUAGAAGCAAGACCAAUAAUUUCAUCUUUACUAGGUAAUUCCUCUUCACGGUGUUGUCUACGAAAUUUAGAGAAAUUAAAUUCAUGAGACAUAUCACCUAAACCAAUAGUAACAACAUCCUUUUUGCAAUCUAUCUUAGCAUUAACAGUGUUCAAGAAGGGUCUACCAAAUAUAAUGGGACAAAAGCUAUCUUGUGGGGAACCAAGAACAAGAAAAUCAGCAGGAUAUUUAGUUUUCCCACACAAGACUUCAACAUCUCUAACAAUUCCAAUUGGUGAAAUAGUAUCUCUAUUGGCAUGUUUAAUUGUGACAUCAAUAUCUUCUAUUUUAGCAGGUGCAGCAUCAUGCAUAAUUUCUUUGUAUAAGUCAUGAGGUAUAGCACUAGCACUGACACCCAUAUCACAUAAGCCAUGAUAACAAUGAUCUCCUAUUUUAACAGAAAUAACAGGCAUGCCUACCAAAGAUCUAGGUUUAUCUUUAGCACAAGGUUUAGCAAUUCUAGCAGUCUCAUCACAGAAAUGAAUAACAUGCCCAUCAAUAUUAUCAGACAAGAGAGCUUUAACAAUAGCAAUAUUAGGUUCAACUUUAAAUUGCUCAACAGGUGUAUAGGUUCUAAUAUUGCUUUUACAACCCAUAGUUGAAGCUUUAGCAUGAUCUUCUAUCCUAACAGGAAAAGGUGGUUUCUCAACAUAAGCAGUAGGAACAAUAGGAUCAUUAUAAGUGAUAGUUCUUCAACUUUUAUAGGUGCAGCUACUUUUACUUCUAUGGGAGGAUGGUAUUUAAACCACUUCUCCUUAGGGAGAUCAACAUGAGUAGAAAAAGAUUCACAGAAAGAAGCUACUAUCUCAGAGUCAAGUCCAUAUUUAGUGCUAAAUUUACGGAAAACAUCGGUAUCCAUAAAAGAUUUAACACAAUCAUACUUAGGUGUCAUACCUCACUCCUUACCUUCGUCGAGGUCCCAAUCUUCAGAGUUGCAUUUAAUUCUUUCCAAUAAAUCCCAUUUGAAUUCAAUAGUCUUCAUCAUAAAAGAGCCAGCACAAGAAGUAUCGAGCAUGGUGCGAUUGUUAUCAGAAAGCUGAGCAUAUAAAUUGUGAAUAAUCAUUUCUCUUGAGAGCUCAUGAUUGGGGCAUGAAUAUAACAUUGAUUUAAGCCUCCCCCAAGCUUAAGCGACACUUUCUCCUUCGUGAGGCUAGAAAUUAUAUAUAUAAUUACGAUCAUGAUGAACAAGAUGCAUAGGAUAAAACUUCUGAUGAAAUUCCAAUUUCAAUAGUUUGUAGUUCCAUGACCCCGUAUCAUCACAUAGCCUAUACCAUGUCAAUGCAUCUUCCUUCAAAGAUAAAGGGAAGACCUUCUUCUUAAUAACAUCUCCGGAUACACCUGCAAGCUUAAAUAAUCCACAAACUUCAUCCACAUAUAUUAGGUGCUCAUCAGGAUGCACUGUUCCGUCUCCUGCAAAAGGAUUAGCUAGAAGUUUUUCUAUCAAAGCCGAAGGAAUUUCAAAGCAGACAUUUUCAUUUUCAGUAGGUUCAAUGGGUUGAGGAGCAACUCUUUGCUCUACUGGUCGGGGUGAAGAUACCCCGAACAAGCCCCUCAGAGGAUUACUUUCCAUAGUAACAAGUGACAGUAAAUUUCAGCACACUAUAUAAAAAUUUCCUUACCAAAUUCCACCUACCAAAGGCGCUUCACUCCCCGGCAACGGCACCAGAAAAGAGUCUUGAUGACCCACAAGUAUAGGGGAUCUAUCGUAGUCCUUUCGUUAAGUAAGAGUGUCGAACCCAACGAGGAGCAGAAGGAAAUGAUAAGCGGUUUUCAGCAAGGUAUUCUCUGCAAGCACUGAAAUAAUAGGUAACACAUAGUUUUGUGAUAGGAUAAUUUGGAACGAGUAACAAGUAACAAAAGUAAAUAAAGUGUAGCAAGGUGGCCCAAUACUUUUUGUAGCAAAGGACAAGCCUGGACAAACUCUUAUAUGAUGUAAAGUGCUCCCGAGGACACAUGGGAAUAUCGUCAAGCUAGUUUUCAUCAUGUUCAUAUGAUUCGCGUUCGGUACUUUGAUAAUUUGGUAUGUGGGUGGACCGGUGAUUGGGUGCUGCCCUUACUUGGACACGCAUCCCACUUAUGAUUAACCUCUGUUGCAAGCAUCCGCAACUACAACAAAAGUAUUAAGGUAAACCUAACCAUAGCAUGAAACAUAUGGAUCCAAAUCAGCCCCUUACGAAGCAACGCAUAAACUAGGGUUUAAGCUUCUGUCACUCUAGCAACCCAUCAUCUACUUAUUACUUCCCAAUGCCUUCCUAUAGGCCCAAAUAAUGGUGAAGUGUCAUGUAGUUGACGUUCACAUAACACCACUAGAGGAAAUACAACAUACAUCUCAUCAAAAUAUCGAACGAAUACCAAAUUCACAUGACUACUAAUAGCAAGACUUCUCCCAUGUCCUCAGGAACAAUGUAACUACUCACAAAGCAUAUUCAUGUUAAUAAUCAGAGGGGUAUUAAUAUGCAUAUAGGAUAUGAACAUAUGGUCUUCCACCAAAUAAACCAACUAGCAUCAACUACAAGGAGUAAUUAACACUACUAGCAACCCACAUGUACCAAUCCCGGACUUGGAGACAAGAAUUGGAUACAAGAGAUGAACUAGGGUUUUGAGAGGAGAUGGUGCUGGUGAAGAUGUUGAUGGAGAUUGCCCUCUCCCGAUGAGAGGAGCGUUGGUGAUGACGAUGGCGAUGAUUUCCCCCUCCCGGAGGGAAGUUUCCCCGGUAGAACAGCUCCGCCAGAGCCCUAGAUUGGUUCCGCCAAGGUUCCGCCUCGUGGCGGCGGAGUCUCGUCCGGGAAGAUGGCUUAUAAUUUUUUCCUCAUCGAAAGACUCCAUAUAGCAGAAGAUGGCCACCGGAGGGCCACCAGGGGGCCCACGAGGUAGGGGGCACGCCCAGGGGGGUAGGGCGCGCCCCCACCCCCGUGGGCAGGGUGUGGCCCCCCGGUGAACUUCUUGCGCUCAGUAUUUUUUAUUAUUCUGAAAUCGUCUUCCGUGAAGUUUCAGGACUUUUGGAGCUGUGCAGAAUAGGUCUCUAAUAUUUGCUCCUUUUCCAGCCCAGAAUCCCAGCUGUCGGCAUUCUCCCUCUUUAUGUAAACCUUGUAAAAUAAGAGAGAAUAGGCAUAAGUAUUGUGACAUAAUGUGUAAUAAUAGCCCAUAAUGCAAUAAAUAUCGAUAUAAAAGCAUGAUGCAAAUUGGACGUAUCAAUUUUGAACACAAAAAAACUAUGUAGUUCAAACAAGUUAAAAAAAAUGAAAUCCCUUUGUAACAGACGAGUUUCCGUAUGAAACCCUCAUACUUCGAAAGACAUUGGCCAUUUUGUACACGAAGUGCAUACAGUUUUUGCCGUAACCCUCUCUACUUUCUUGCACAUGCUAUGUGGGUGAAAUGAUGAUACCAUGCCAACUUUCAACCUUUUCAGAGUUCAUUUGAAAUGCUUUUCAAUUUCAGGGUCUUAUAGCUCAAAAUAAUCAGUAAAUGCAUGAAAAAUAACAAAUGAAGUCAGAAAGGGUUGAAAAUUAAUGAUGUGGCUUUGAAUGGUGCAUUUUGAACACAAAAAAGUCUGGAGUUCAAAUAAGUUCAAAAAAAUGAAAUCCCUUUGUAGCAGACGAGUUUCCGUAUGAAACCCUCAUACUUCGAAAGAGAUUGUCUGUUUUGUACACGAAGUGCAUCUAGUUUUUGCCGUAACCCUCUCUACUUUCUUGCACAUGCUAUGUGGAUGAAAUGAUGAUACCAUGCAAAAAGAAAAUUAACUAAUUUUUUUUAUAAAACUCUAAUAACAAAAGGAAUGAACUAAAAAGCUUUUAUAAACCUAUAGUAUUUNNNNNNNNNNNNNNNNNNNNNNNNNNNNNNNNNNNNNNNNNNNNNNNNNNNNNNNNNNNNNNNNNNNNNNNNNNNNNNNNNNNNNNNNNNNNNNNNNNNNNNNNNNNNNNNNNNNNNNNNNNNNNNNNNNNNNNNNNNNNNNNNNNNNNNNNNNNNNNNNNNNNNNNNNNNNNNNNNNNNNNNNNNNNNNNNNNNNNNNNNNNNNNNNNNNNNNNNNNNNUAAGGCCUCCUUUGGUUUGGAAGAAUUUCAUAGGAAUUUUAGAGGAUAGGAUUCUUAUAGGAUUUUUUCCUUUAGAGCCCUUUGGUUCAUAGGAAUAGAUUCCUAUUCCUCCGGAGGAUUGGUUCCUAUCCUCCACAUUUCAUAGGAAAAUAAAAAUGAGCCUAGACUCAAUGGAAAAAUUCCUUUGGUGUCAACCAAAUGACAUCUCGUUUCCUAUUCCUACUCAUAUGAUUUGAGAUACAUGACAUCUCAUUUCCUACAAAAUUCCUAUUCCUAUGGUAAUCCUAUCCUAUGAACCAAAAGAGGCCUAAGUUUUUUUGUAAGUAGAAACAAAAUAAAAUAAAUAAAUCAACAAUUUUUUUUUUAAAAAUGCCAACUACUGGGCUACCACGGCAUGAAUACGACAAGAAACCCUACCAUGGGCCAGGAUUCAGGCCCGUAGAAGGCCCGGUAGGCCCAUCAGGCAUAGCAGUGACAAUUAGGCCCGUAAGCCUGCAAUUGAGAGGAGCUCGAGAGGGGUGCGGCAGUGGGGCUUAUAAACCACUCCGCGCCCCUCUCAACUAGCGAGGUGGGACUAAAGUUUUGGCCACGGGGAGCACGAGGCCUUUGGUCCCGGUUGGUGGCACCAACCGGUACCAAAGGGGGGCAUUCGUACCGGUUGNNNNNNNNNNNNNNNNNNNNNNNNNNNNNNNNNNNNNNNNNNNNNNNNNNNNNNNNNNNNNNNNNNNNNNNNNNNNNNNNNNNNNNNNNNNNNNNNNNNNNNNNNNNNNNNNNNNNNNNNNNNNNNNNNNNNNNNNNNNNNNNNNNNNNNNNNNNNNNNNNNNNNNNNNNNNNNNNNNNNNNNNNNNNNNNNNNNNNNNNNNNNNNNNNNNNNNNNNNNNNNNNNNNNNNNNNNNNNNNNNNNNNNNNNNNNNNNNNNNNNNNNNNNNNNNNNNNNNNNNNNNNNNNNNNNNNNNNNNNNNNNNNNNNNNNNNNNNCCCUCGACGCCAACUGCCCCAACGCCGACCGCCGUGCCUUGCCACCCCCUGUAAACACACCUGCCGCUCCACGUGCCCUUGCGUGUGCCCGCUCCGACGCCGGCGCCGCUCCUCGUGCACCUGCGCCCCUGCCCUGCCCCGCCGGCGCCGCCGCCGCCAUGCCCUGCCCCGCUGGCCCCUAGAGCUUUCCUUUAUUUUUUUUGUUAUAUAUAUAUGCUAUUUAUUUAGAUGUUUUCAGAUGUUUUUAGUUGUUCAUAAAAGAAACUUAGAUGUCAAAAAUGUUUUUUAUGUUCAUAUAUAGAAAGUUUUUAUAAAAAUGUAUAUAUGUAUGUAUGUUAUCUGUGUAUAUAUGUUCAUAUAGUUUUAUGUUCAUAUUUUGUUAUAUAUAUAUAUGCUUUUUUUCUUCGAUCUUCUCCUCUUUUUAUUUCUUACCCCCCGACCCUCUCGCUCGACCAAAACUCUCGAGGACACCCAAACACUAGAAAAAAAUGAUGCCGGUCUCCUACCCCCUCCCGCCGCGCCCCUACCCGACAAACACUCUCGAGGCCACCCAAAUUUACCAAGUUAAAAGAUUGUUGUCAUCGAGGCCACCCCAAACCCUUGAAGCAUUGCCGAGGCCACCCCAAACCCUUGAAGCAUUGUCGAGGCCACCCCAAACCCUAGAGAAGCAGCAUCGAGGCCACUAAUAUGAUUCCUUAUUGUGAUUAGCUAGCUAGUUCUACGUUUGCCACUAAUAUAUCCAUCUUUCAUGUUUGAAUAAUAAUUGCCAUGUUGUAAAUAUUUGCAGAAACUAUGGAGCACCCCUGAGACGAAGCAACAGAAGCGGUGUUGGGGGACAUAAUCGCACAAGGAAGUGAUGCCGUCAUGUCGUUUCUCAACGAAACCGAUGGUCCGGAAGGAUAGGGUGAAGAAGCAGGCUAUGAUUAUGAUGGCUCCGGUGACACAAUGCCGGUGCAAGAAGGAGAUCUUGAUGACGGCUCCGGUGACCCAAUGCCGGUGCAAGAAGGAGACCGUGAUGACGGCUCCGGUGACCGAACCGAGUCCGGCCAGGUAUAUAUAUUAGUUAAGCCUGUGCUGACUAGCUAAUUGAUGCAUUCAUUGUUUUGGUAUAUGUACACAUAUUAAUUAACUCUCAUCUUUCUUCUUUUUUCUAGCCCUCCGGGUCGAGCACAACUUCGGUAAAGAGACGAGGCCCGAAGAAAAAUUAUGCUCGGAUGAAAGGUUUGAGAUCACAGCAAUCGCGUGUGAUGGCAUGCCGAUUGAACCAUCCGGACAAAGGAAGCAUUUGCUGCUCAGUGUGAGGUUCUUGUUAGGGACAAGAUCCCGAUCAGUAUCCACCAAUGGUGAAAGCCUAAGAAUGAAGACCCUGAGGUGUCUUAUGUCUUCGAUAUGCAGAAAGAUGAUCUUUGGACCGCGCUGAAGGCAAAUUUCACCCUACCGGCAAAGGAGGAUCCGGAGAAGCCAGUUAAAGAGUAAUUGAUCAAGUCUCAUGAUCUUAAGAAGAUGGCAGAUCUAUUAAGGAGGUGGAAGAAUGAGCUGAAAACAUCGUUUGUCGACAAAGACAAGACACCAGAAUUCACCGGCCGGUAUGAGAAGAUCAGAGAUCAUUGGCCCACAUUUGUGGCCCACAAGACAUCGAACAAGAGUAAGAAGAUGUUAGUGACAAACAAGAACAAUGUUGCGAAGAAGAAGCAUCACCAUCACACAGGGUCAGGUGGCUACCUCAAAGCUCGGCCGUUGUGGGCCAAGACUGAGAAUGACCUGCUUGAUAAAGGGGUCGAACCAGAGACAUUGCACUGGCCAGACCAUUGCCGGACUUUGUUCUUUGGGGUUGGCGGAAGCUUGGACCCUGUAACAGGGAAGUGCGUUUGGAUGAACGAGCAACUGCGAAUACCCGUCACGAAGCUUCAGGAGUAUAUCGCCGCAGCGCAGGAGGGGACGUUCGUUCCAAACAAAGAGAAUGACGAGCUCACAAUGGCCCUCGGGAAUCCCGAGCACCCUGGACGGACACGAGGCACGCCAGGCUCCAUUUCAUGGAAGACUGGGUUUCCCGACGCAGGCGGUUACAAAUGCCAGGAGAGGAGGAAGAAAGUGGAGCAGAUCCAAAUUCAGGCGCUACACGCAAGGGUACAAGCGAUAGAGCAACGAGAAGCAGAUCGCAACAAGCGACCCACCGAAGCUUCCCUAGAAGCUACCCCGCCAUCUCAGCGGAGAAGCAACGUGGCUUCCACCGAGCAGCAGCAGCUGGAGCCUGUCUUCACGGCUCCUGCUAGCUACCCCGUGGACUUAAUCAUGGAGUCUCAAAAUUGCCACCUUAUGACGCAAUGGAAGAAUUUGAAAGUCAAGGCGGCUGUUGGCUCUGUUGCACCUGCUGAACCUGGCGCAACUUUUCGCUGCCGGCCGAUUCCAGAAGGAUAUGCUAGGGUGAUGGUGGAUGAAAUAACGGACGGGUUUGAGGACCUCGAGCUUGACCACCCUACCGGUGAAGGGGAGACUCGCUGGGUUCUUCUCUGAAGACUCCAUGCCUAUGGCGGAAGGAGCUCAUCAACCUUCCGAACUGGACGCCUCCACCUCCUCCUCCUCCUCCUCCGGCGAGUCAGGGUACUCCGCCUCCUCCUCCGGUGAGUGAUCAGGGCACUCAGCCUCCUUCUCUAGCGCGUGGCGGCACUCCGCCUCCUUCUCCGCCUGCGCCGGCGCGCCCAAGCAGCUAGCCUACUCCUUCUCCGCCUCGUCGGCAAGGGCAGAAGAGACCCGCCGCCACUCCGGCUGCUUCGGCGCGUCAUAGUCCUUCUCCUCAUAAGCAAGGAAAGAAGACAGCCAUAGCCGCUUCGUCUGCUGUAGCGUCUAGCAGUACAUCCAGAGGCGGGAGGCAAUACAGAUUCGGUCCUUCUCUGAAGACUCCAGAGAAGUUACCAUACGAUAGGACCCCGGAGGAAAAACGAGAAGAUCGUGCGAGACGAAGUGAGGAACUUCUUUGAAGGGGUGAAAGCAAAGAAACAUCCACCUCCGGAGGAGAAGAUAGAUCCGGUGAAAGCGAAGCACACUGUGGAAGCCCUGAAGAAACCACCAAAGUCUCCUCCGAAAGGCAACUAUGAGCGCAUUAUUGAAAGGUCAUUUAUCGAAGCGGAGCGGUCGAGAAGUACUGUCAGUGAUCAAAGGUUAGCAGAAUGACGAGCUGGGAAAAAAAUUGCCCAGCUUGGCGAACAAGCGAACCAAUCGUUCCCCUCGCUCAAGGUGUCUAGCGAUAUCAUCGCUAACGAUUCGAGGAUGGUGCCCGGUUUAACAAUCUUGAAGAUUACCUUGCCCGACGAUGUACAUUAUGAAUUCUUGGAGGUGGACAAACACAGAUAUGAGUACGGGAAGCUUCUCCUCAAAGAUGAAAGGUCUCUAACAACGAUGAUGCAAAGAUUCCAUGAUUGGUACAUGAAAACCUGCAGAGAGUCUGGGGGGAGGAAUACUUUGACGCUGAGAGUUAAAGAGGAGCAUGACCUCGUUGGAACUGAUCUAUUGAAUGUUCCAUUUGAGGAGUUCUUCCAGUUUUUCAAUCAGAGGGCCCUCGAUAAAUUAACGGUCACUUGCUACUGUCUGUAAGUACUACUUCUAUCAUUAAGUCUCUAUAUAUAGGUCAGCUCUUUCAUUGCAUGUAUUUAUAAUUAUCCUCACUAUAUUAUGCAGAUUGAAGAUCGCCGAAUUGAAGAAAAGACAAAUCGGUGAUAUUGGGUUCAUUAACCCAAAUAUCAUAGAUGCAUAUUCGGUUGAAUUUCAGAAAAAAGAUACCAAGGCCAACUUGCUACGAUCGUUGGUAUUAAAUCAAACCAAAGCUAUAAUACUCUUUCCUUACAACUUCAAGUGAGUGUUACUUUCUUGUGCAUAUUCGGUUUCCCUUAUUAGUCGAGGUUAUAGUAAUGUAAUUGAUGAGUUAUGCAUGCGUGAGCAGGUUCCACUAUAUUCUUCUAGAGAUUAAGCUCGAGCAGGGACUAGUAACCAUCUUAGACUCGAGACGAGAAGAUCCCAAGGAGUAUGCAGACACGACUGAAAUUCUCGAGAAGUAAGUUAAAUCGAUCAUUAUCGCACCAUAUCGGCAACUUUGUUCACUUCCUGAUAUCAAGUAAUUGUUUUCUUUGUCUGGCAGGGUUUGGAAAAAUUCACCUCAAAAGCUCCGGGACUGCCGAAGAAGCUGGAAUUUAAACACCCGAAAGUAAGUACUACUAGCAUGUUCUGCGCAUCUCCUAGUGAUUCAAGUGCUAGUUUCAUCAAUACCAUUUAGCAUGCUUGCUUAUCAGUUUGAUUGACCUCUAUUUCUUGUAAAGUGGUUGUGGUAGGAAGCCGGGAAUAAUUACUGUGGAUACUACGUUUGCGAGUCCAUCCGCCACACGACCUGUAAGUGGGGCUACACUAAAAAAUAAUACGAAGUGCGUAAGCAAUAAUAUUCAGAAUUUUACUUUAUUACCAUCUUUUGUGUUGAGUUUCAUUCAUUCCUAUAUAUGUAUUGACCCCCUUCUUCAAAUUAGAUGUUCCAGAUGCAGGAUGAACUCCUAGCACCAGAUCGUAUGCAAGGAAUUCAAGAGGAAUUGGCGGCAUUCUUUCUUGACCACGUGAUCGAUAAAGAUGGAGAAUACUAUGUGGACCCUGUGUUCAUAUAUAAUUAGGGGAUUAUAUUGUAAGAGAUCUUAUAUUGUAUAUAUGUAGCUUGUAGCGUCGGAUAGAUAUACGAAAACUUGUUGUUCGACCAAUCUCUUGAAGAAGGAGAUGUCGAUAUCACUUCUCUCUGUAUGCAUAUGUUCAUGACGAUCUUCUGUUUCCUUCAUUUUUGCUUACUAGCUAGCGUGUCGAGUGCUCUCUAUACGUAUAGUACGUAGUGUCGACCAAGCACGGAGAUAAGAGAGGAAACUUCUCUCUAUUAAUUAAUUAGCUACCUAACACAAUAUAUGAAACACCUUAAUUAACCAUACAAAACCCCCAAAUCCCCCCCUCCUUCAGAAAAAAACAAAAACCCUAGCCCCUGAACAGCUGACGCGUGGAUGCCUAUUGGUCCCGGUUGGUGCCACCAACCGAGACCAAAGGCCCCCCUGCCUAGGUUGGCCGCAGCGGCCACGUGGAGGCGCAUCUGUCUCGGUUCGUGUAAGAACCGGGACUAAAGGCCAAAGGCAUUAGUAACGACCUUUUAGUCCCGGUUCCAAAACCGGGACAGAAGGCCCUUAUGAACCGGGACAAAUGGCCCUUUUUCUACUAGUGUUUAUGGAAUAACAGAGACAACAGCCACAUCGAGUGGAUCUGUAACAGCCACAAAACCUUCCAGUCCACCCAGUGGGGCUGCACUUCAAGAGCUCGUAAGUUUUGCGGCUUGCUGCUCAUGUGUUGGUCAUUUCAUUAAUUUGCUCAAUGUUGCCACCUGUUAACCAUGUCAUUGUAUUCCUUUGCUAGCACACACACGUGUGCACGUUGUACCACAAGUCACAAGAUGGAGAAGAUGCAUUUCCUAUUGAUGCUUUGUGGGAUGAAGUUGAAUGGGAAAAGCAAGUGGCAAGCAUUCAUUGCUAAUUCCCUCAAGACUGCUAGGGCCAAUGAAGAUGAAGGUGAUGAUCGUUGCUCCGGCCACCCAUGUCCCUAGGAACUGGAGGAGGUGGGAGGUGGAGAAGGAGAAGGGGUGGCGGCCAAGAUGAUGAAGAAGUUUGAGGACAUCAUGGUUAAGGAGGAGACAUGUGCCAAGACGGCAAUGCAUACUUCAAUUUCUAAAUACCAUAGAUUUUCUCGGUUUGGUUUAGAAAAAAGAAGUCAAGAAAAAUACCACAAAACUACAUGGAUUGGCGAUACUAUUGUUUAUAAAACAGCACUAGUAUUUGUUCAUGUCAAACACAAUAAAAUUUUCAAUUUUGCACAUCUAGAUAUACCCUAAAUAUUAAACAUCUAAGUCCUAAGUUAUUGGUUUUACGCGAAGAUUCGUGUGGUAUUUUCUUCUCCUUUCUUAUGCUGCAUUGAGUCACUCAGAUGUGCAAUGUGCCCUAGACAAACCACCGUGAUUUCUAGAUAAAGUACAUUAUUCUUCAAAAUACUCCAAAAGAAGGGGUAUAUUUAUGGUUUAUCUUUGUAAACUAUUGUAAGCCCCUCAAGACAUGUCAGGUUACAAAGCGCAUCAGCCUAACUCCAUAAACACCUUCAAUCAAUCAGACUCAUCACUUUCACUUUCACUUUCUUGAUCACAAACAUUCGAAUCUUGGACCUCAGUUUGCCUAAGGGAUUCAUCACUUGUACCUUCUGCAGUAGCCCUGAGAUGCUUGGAGACCCCAGUAACAAGGAACCCGCGCGUAAAACCGAGGCAACGCUUCUUCACCUUGGCCACUCCUCGCAGAGCCUGCGUCCCCAGGUCAACAGUGAGCACCGUCACCAUAGCUCCGUCGCUGGUGCCCUGGGCCAGCAUGUAAACUACGUCCUCGUCCUCAUCGGCGACGCCCAUGGUGGGGAGAGCCAUGCGAAGACGCCUCAGGGACAAGACCCCCUCGGCGGCCUUGUGGGCUCUGCCGCUCAUGAACUUAUGCAUUAGCUUGUAAUGCCUCGCGACGUUGGAGGGGACGCCGACGCUCGCCGACCAGACGGAGCACCGCUGCCGCCAGUCGCUCCACGAGGUGGCCGGGAUGGGCAUGCUCCAGGUGGUGGCCUUCCAGGUGUCCUCGGCGUACUGGGCCUGCGAGAGGAAGAAGCCAGUAGCGUUGCGCGUCACCCGUAUGCCAAGGAAGUAGUGGAGCGCUCCCAGGUCCUUCAUGGAGAGCUCGUGCGUGAGCUUGGCGAUGAUGCGUUGAAGGAAGGCAGCCGAGCUCACCGUGAGAACGAUGUCGUCCACGUAGAGCAGUAGAUAGGCGGCAUCGGCGCCGGACGCGAGGACGAAGAGCGAGCUGUCCGAGCGCGUGACGGUGCAGCCGAGGGUGGCGAGGAAGCUGGCGAACCGAAGGAACCAUGCUCGCGGCGCUUGUUUGAGCCCAUAGAGGGACUUUGUGAGUCGGCAGACGUGGUCGGGCUUGCCCGCGUCGACAAAACCUGCAGGCUGUAGACAAGAAACUUCCUCCUGGAGCGUGCCAUGCAAGAAGGCGUUCUUGACAUUCGAAUUGCCGAACGGGCCACCCACGCGAGGCGGCGAGGGUGAGCACAGUGCGAAUGGACGCCGGCUUCAUGACAAAGGAGAAGGUCUCGCCGUAGUCGACGCCGGCGCGCUGGCGAAACCCGCGCACGACCCACCGCGCUUUGUAGCGCUCGAGUGAGCCGUCGGAGCGCGUCUUGUGCUUGAAAAUCUAUUUGCCGGUGAUGAUGUUAGCGCGCGGAGGAUGAGGCACCAGCUCCCACGUGCGGUUGCUGACGAGCGCGGUGAACUCCUCGCGCAUGGCAGAUACCCAGUUCGGAUCACGAAGAGCAUCACGAACGGAACGGGGAAGCGGAGAGACGUCCGGCGAGGUGUUGACGGAGGCGACGCAGACGUAGUCGUCGGCGUAGCACGUGUUCGGACGGAACACGCCGGCCCGAGCGCGCGUGGUGAUCCGCGAGUCGCCAGCUGUUGGUGAAGAAGAGCCGGCGGGGACGACCGCGCGCUGCGCGGGAGCGACCGGAUUUAAAUCUGGGCCGCUUGAUGCAUAUCCAUUGGUGCAGCUUGAACUGGGAGAAGUGGCGCUCGACGAAGACGAGGCAGAGCAACUGGAUGGCGAUCGCAUGGCCGAGCUUGAACCUAGAGGAGUGGCGCCCAACGAGGAAGAGGCGGAGCUGCUGGAUGACGAUCACGCGGCCGAGCUUGAACCAGCGGCGCCCGCGCGCUGGUGUGAGGCAUGAGGGCCGAACUCAAUGGAGUCAGGCGAGCUGGCGUCACAGGGCGGCGGAGGAGCAGUGAGGGGAACCUGCAGGGGCGCGGGAACGUAGCGUGGCGCCUGUGUAGCGCCGACGGCGGGCAGAUCAGGAGCGACAGCAAAGGGGAAGUGAGUCUCAUGGAAGCGAACAUGGUGAGAGGUGAGAACUCGUCGGGUGCGGGGAUCAUAACAAUGAUAACCACGAUGAUCUGGGGGAUACCCAAAAAACACGCAGGCGACGGACCGGUGGUCGAGUUUGUGGCGCGAGGUAGAAGAAGUGUUGGGGUAGCAGAGGCAACCGAACACGCGCAAAGUGGAGUAGUCAAGGGCCGUACCAAGAAGCAGUUCAUGCGGUGACUGUGGUGAGGAAGUGGUGCAUGGUUUGUAGUUGAGGAGGAGAGUAGCAAUGCCAAGGGCUUCCGCCCAAAAACGCGCCGGCAUAAAUGCGUGAAAGAGCAGAGAGCGCACGCUAUUAUUCAAGGUGCGCAACAUGCGCUCGGCCUUGCCAUUUUGUUGGCUGGUGUACGGACAAGAGAGACGCAGGACAGUGCCGUGCUUGGAGAGGAGCGAUUGAACAGCGAGACUGUCGAAUUCCUUGCCAUUAUCAGUUUGAAAGGCAAGAACAGGGUGCUUGAAUUGUGUCUGAACGUAGGCGUAGAAGGCAGUAAGAACAGAGAGCACAUCAGACUUAUGACGCAAAGGGAAAGUCCAAACAUAAUGUGUGCAACUGUCGAGUACAACCAGGUAGUACAUGAAGCCAGACACACUAGCUACAGGCGAAGUCCAAACAUCUAAAUGCAAGAGCUGAAAAGGGAAAUAACUAGGAGUGUGGGAAGAAGAAAACGGCAGACGGGCAUGCUUGCCCAACCUGCAGGCGUGGCAGGUGUGUGGAGCCGAGGGCGCACAGGUGAAGGGAAACUGGUGUAGAACCCGUCGAAGCGCGUCGUCUCCAGGAUGGCCGAGCCGCUGGUGCGACAACUCCACGGAGGCGACACCGGCGAACGGAGGCGAGGAGGACGGCGCACCGCAGGGCGUGACGGGGUACAUGUCUCCAGUGGAAUCACAUCGCCGGAUCACCUGGCGGGUGUGGAUGUCCUUGACAGAGAAGCCAAAUGCAUCAAACUCGAUAGAAAUAGGAUUCUCACGCGUAAGUUUCCGAACAGACAGCAGAUUGGUGAUAAGUGAGGGGGAAAGCAAAACAUUGCGAAGAACAAGCGAAGAAUUGGUGGUGAUCAGAGAGCCGUGGCCAGUGUGCGUGAUCGGGAGACGACCGCCGUUGCCGACCACGAUCUGAUUAGGGAAUGAAUGAGGAGAAAGGGAAUGGAGGGUACCAGGAUUGGCGGUCAUGUGCGCCGUCGCGCCGGAGUUGAGGUACCAGUCUGAGGUGCUUCCGGCAGACAGAGCCGAGGUGGACGCGGCCUGUAGGGCCGUGUGCAGCGGCCCCAUGUCCCAGGGCUGGGGCUGCGCCGGUGGUGGCGCGGNNNNNNNNNNNNNNNNNNNNNNNNNNNNNNNNNNNNNNNNNNNNNNNNNNNNNNNNNNNNNNNNNNNNNNNNNNNNNNNNNNNNNNNNNNNNNNNNNNNNNNNNNNNNNNNNNNNNNNNNNNNNNNNNNNNNNNNNNNNNNNNNNNNNNNNNNNNNNNNNNNNNNNNNNNNNNNNNNNNNNNNNNNNNNNNNNNNNNNNNNNNNNNNNNNNNNNNNNNNNNNNNNNNNNNNNNNNNNNNNNNNNNNNNNNNNNNNNNNNNNNNNNNNNNNNNNNNNNNNNNNNNNNNNNNNNNNNNNNNNNNNNNNNNNNNNNNGGACCAAGAACGCCGGCACCGGGCGCGCCAGGGCAUGGGCUAGGCUUGCACCAGGACAGUCCAAGAGUUGGUGCCGGGGGCCUGACCAGGAAGAGUAGGCGGACGGGGUGGCGGUGGCGUAGACGAGGAAGACGCCCCGGGACUGCCACGGCCACGACACUUGUGGCGGACACGCCCACGACUAGCGCUGGAGUCAGCCGGCGGGGCAGCGUUGGGUGCGGACAGGGGCGGCGACAGAGUGAUACGCCCGACCACCAUGGCGUGGGCAUGCUAAAUGCGCGCCGUCUGCUCAGCACGGUGCUUCUCCAACAGCAAGAACAAGCGGGCCUGCAGAAAGCUGGGCAGGGGCAUGCGCGAGGUAAGAUGAGGUAUGGCGCCGUGGUACUGGCGCCCAAGCCCAUGGAUCAUGUUGAAAAGCUGCUGGGUCUCAGAGACGGGCUGGCCGAGAUCGCGAAGUUGGUCGGCGAAUGUCUUCAGACGCGUGCAAUACUGCAUGAUCGAGAGGUCGCCCUGCACAAGGGCGUGGUACUCGGCGUCGACGUACACGGCGCGAGAGAGCUAGUUGUCGUGGAAGAUCGCCUCGAUCGCGGCCCAAAGCACGGCCGCCGUAUCCUCGGGCUGCAUGACGACGUCGAGUAGCUCCGGCGAGAUCGUGGCGUAGAGCCAGUGAACUACGCAGUGGUCGAUCAUGACCAACUCGGGGUCGCGGCGGCCUAGCGCAGCAUCGGCGAUGAUGUGGUCGCGGAUGCCGAACAUGCCCACGAUGGUGUGGAAGAAGCGGCGCCACUGCGCGUAGUUGCCGGCAUGGAGAUCGAGCGUGAACGAGACAUGGUGGCGAAUGUCGAUGGUUUGAAGAACGGAUGCCGGGAAGGCGCGCAGAGGUGGGAGGAGGGCGUUCGGGCGGUCGACGGCGGUGGUGUUCUGGAGGACGCCGGCGGCAGCAUGGUCGCCGUCGUCGGAGGAGGUGGGAGAGGGGACGGGGUUAUCGUCCAUGGCAGCGGAAGAGGGAGGUGGCACAGUCGCAAAGGGGUUGGAGUCCUGCACAUCCACUAGUAGAUAAAGGGCCUUUAGUCCCGGUUCAUAAGGGCCUUUAGUCCUAGUUCUGGAACUGGGACUAAAGGGCCGUUACUAAAGCCUCCCCCUUUAGUCCCGGUUCUUAUACGAACCGGGACUAAAGGCCCUCCACGUGGCCGCUGUCUGGAGGUCCACCUUUAGUCCCGGUUGGUAACACCAACCAGUACUAAAGGAAAUUUUAUGAUAUUUUAUGAUAUUUUUUUGAUUUUUUUAUUUUCAAUUUUCUGAAUUAUUUUAACCUCUAAUCUCUAAUCACCCCUCAUCACUGCUUAAUUUAACCUUUAAUCUCUAAUCACCCCUCAUCGUUCCAAAUCAUCUAACUUCCUGAACGGUCACCCAUUCUCUCACUACUCCAGCCUGAGCACGCUUAACUUCCGGGUUCUAUUCUCCCUCAUUUCCAAGUCUGCUCUUGUUGUUUUCCUGACAAUAGUAAGAUGCCAAUCCUAUUAACCCUCAGGAAUUUAGCUUGAGCAUGAAGUCACAUGUUUCACUGUUUGAGUUUGAAACUAUUGUUCUAAAAAACAAUAAUUAGUUAGUAACACUAAUAUUUCUUGAAUAAGUAGUUUGACCACAGUUUGACCCUAGUUUGACCAGAUUUGACCAAAAUUCAAAAAACUGAAAUAAUUAUUUAGUAACACUAAUAUUUCUUGAAUAAGUAGUUUGGCCAUUGUUUGACCACAGUUUGACCAUAGUUUGACCAUAUUUGACCAAAAUUCAAAAAAACUGAAAUAAUUAUUUAGUAACACUAAUAUUCUUGAAUAAUUAUUUAGUAACACUAAUACUUCUUGAAUAAGUAGUUUGACCAGAUUUAACAAAAAUUAAAAAAAAAC
rnacentral:lncRNA from 1 species